GGCCAUUUUUCGUCUCUUCACGUCACGCAACAUUUUCCAGUCUACGUAAUAACCUCGAACUUGGCCUGAAGGUGAUGAAGGAACCAUCUAAAAGAUAAGGAACAAGGUAAAUAAAGCUUUCUCUGAACCCCAGUUCAAAGGAUCCUGUUGGUUACAGUCUGAAGCCUGAGGACUGGGCGUUUUAGAAACAUCAUCAGAGAAAAACAACUUUCGAGCCCCACCGGAGAAGACCUUACCAAGUACUCCUGACCAGUGACACUGCUGCAAAACUAAAAGAUUUUAUUUGUUUGAGAGCGAGCGAGCGAGAAAGAGAGCACGAACAGGGGCCGAGGAAGGGGGACAAGCAGACUGCCCUCUGAUCAGGGAGCCCAACGUGGAGCUCCAUCCCAGCACCCUGGGAUCAUGACCCC